AGAGUAUGCAGUUGGAAGAAGCUGGGCCCAUACCAGUCCACCUGCCUUCUCCCAGCCAGAUGUCUAUUAUACAGUUUAUUUGCAAUAGCCCUCUACCACCUCUAUUUCUGGGGACAUAUAAUCUGACAAUUGGAAUACUAAUUAUGACCUUAAAAGACUGAGACAACUUAGAAUCUUGCCUUCUUGAAAGAAAGACCCUUCUCUCAAUAUUAUUCGCUUGGAGAGUCAUUGGAUGGGAAUUC